rnacentral:rRNA from 1 species
GAGCGGCGGACGGGUGAGUAACGCUUCGGAUCUGACCUAUCAGUGGGGGACACCCGGGGAAACUCGGGCUAUACCGCAUACGUCCUACGGGGGAAAGCAGGGUCGCAAGACUGCGCUGAUAGAUGAGCGAAGUCGGAUUACUAGUGGUGAGGUAAAGGCUCACCAAGGGAAGAUGCGUACCGACCUGAAGGUGAUCGGCCACUGGGACUGAGACACGGCCCAGACUCCUACGGGAGGCAGCAGUAGGGAAUCUUCCGCAAUGGACGAAAGUCUGACGGAGCAACGCCGCGUGAGUGAUGAAGGCUUUCGGGUCGUAAAACUCUGUUGUUAGGGAAGAACAAGUGCUAGUUGAAUAAGCUGGCACCUUGACGGUACCUAACCAGAAAGCCACGGUAACUACGUGCCAGCAGCCGCGGUAAUACGUAGGUGGCAAGCGUUAUCCGGAAUUCAUUGGGGCGUAAAGCGCGCCGCCAGGGUGGGUUUCUUAAAGUCUGGAUGUGAAACGGCCCCAAGGUUCCAAACCGUGGGAGGGGUCCUUUGGGAAACUGGGGAGAACUUUGANUUGCACAAAGCAGGCAACGGUGGGNAAUUCCCCAUGUG